rnacentral:lncRNA from 1 species
GGCAGGAGCUAUCACACUGGAGCCUCGCAGUAGCCAAGGAGAGACGCCAAUGAGGGAAUCAUUUUUCCACUUGGUGAAAUACAUUUUUGCCCCGUGAAAGCACGAGGAGGGCCUGUCUUGGAUAGGUGGAGUGGUCCUAGGUCCUACUAGAUGGAAACCUCAGGACUCGGAAGAGGUUCACCUUCGGAGCGAGUCCCCCUAAGGCCAGCCGUAGGAUCUGCAUUGAGUUCAGCAAGCGGAGGCGACUUCCCCAGGGCCACACAGCCAUGGAGGGCUGCGGCUCAGUUGCUGACUGCUCCAGCUCACCCUCACGUCCAUGAGGUUUCUGCUCCAAAAUGCUAUUGCUAAGAAAAAUGUUCCAAACACGACCCAUUGGCUGACCACAGGUCUUCAUUAUAAAAGCAUCUGAAGGAGUUGCUGAAGGGGAUGUCCUGUUGGCUGGACCCUGUCGUGCUGGUUAUAUGUAAACUGGCUGAACUACCCAGUUCUUAAA